GACGAACGCUGGCGGCGUGCUUAACACAUGCAAGUCGAACGGAACGGUCCUGCCUUUGUGCGCUCCUCUAGUUACCACCUGGUGAGUUACACUUGAGUACGCUGUCCCUGACCUUGGGAUAUCUUCAUGCCACUGGGUCUCAUCCGGCAUAGGAGUUCUCGCUGUUUGGUGGGCGUUGGAUAGUUUCGGUGGUUGGGGAUGGACUCGCGGCUUAUCAGCUUGUUCGUGGGGUAGUGGCUUACCAAGGCCUUGACGGGUAGCCGGCCUGAGAGGGUCACCGGCCACAUUGGGACUGAGAUACGGCCCAGACUCCUACGGGAGGCAGCAGUGGGGAAUAUUGCACAAUGGGCGGAAGCCUGAUGCAGCAACGCCGCGUGCGGGAUGACGGCCUUCGGGUUGUAAACCGCUUUCGCCUGUGACGAAGCGUGAGUGACGGUAAUGGGUAAAGAAGCACCGGCUAACUACGUG
rnacentral:rRNA from 1 species